UUUUAGAUCGGAUUUAAUUUUAAACGUUUUGUCGCAACUGGUACACUGAAAUUAAAAAACAUUAAUUUACUAAUAGUACACUUGAGUGCAAUGUAUGAAUGAAUUAAUUGAAAAUAUGUAGGUAUGUUUCAUGUUUCUGCAGGUAUUGUCUAUGCGAUCUUUACAAUAUUAUUAGCACGAUUAGAUGAUUACACACCUUAAAUGGCCUGAAGCUAGUAGUACUGUGUAUACGAUCCAUAUGUUUCUUGAGAUUGCCGGUGGACGUCAUUGUUCUCGGACACAGCAUGCAUUUGAAUGGUUUAACUUCAAGGUGAGUUUUUUUGUGAAGAUUGAGAAGACUCUUUGUGCGUCCUUUGUACGGACAUAAAUCACAGGCGUGAGGGAAAAAAUUGUAGUGUAUUUUCCUGAAAUAAAGGAAAAAUAUGAAAAUGUUCCGAAAAAAAUAUAAAAUUAAAUAGUU